GGUCGAGGAGAAACAUCCUAAAGUGAGUGCCAUCGCUGCACAGUGAUCAACAACAUACGUGGCUGAAGAUGAUUUUCACACUUACAUCUGCCUGCAGAAGGAGUCCCUCAGGUGUUUCUUUGAAGUGUGCCAUUCUUUUAGGUGUUGGCAACAGCAGCUGACGUUGAACAAACACUACAGCUUCCUGACUCUUCAAGACUAAUUGUCUUAGGUGAAUUGCUCACAGCAAGCUUUUGGAUGCUGAGCAUCGAGGGUCAGGUGGUUUUGCCUCCACAUCCCAACUUCUUGGCUGGAGUGGCAGCUUUGUUUUCUAGCUACUACAACUUCAAUCUGGUGUACCAGGAGCAAGCAUCUUGCACACUGGAAUUCAUUCAAAGAUGCUUUUUGGACUGAACCCCUCCAGUGGGACCAAGACAACAAAGAUGGUGAGCCAAAAAAGUGGGAAGGUACAGGAGAAGAAGAGAAACCCUCACGUUUCCUCUCUACUCAAGCAGAUGAUGGAUUUUGAAUGGCUUCAAUUGUAAGUCAUAUACAAACGACUUCCUCACUAUUUGAACGGACAUUGUUCUAAUCUUCUAAUGUUUUAUUUUUGCCUGUUGUCGAGGUUAUGUUUUGAACAGUUAUGGUAAUCCAGGUCCUGAUAUAAAAUUGGGUCUUUAAGCAAUGCAUAUUGUGAAUUUUAAUAUUGCUGGACCUCGUUGCAACUCUUAAUUUGAAUUCCAUUGAAUGUUUAAUGAGCUG